CUCCCUGUGUCCAGCCGUAACCUCUCAGACAUUUUCAGUCGACCUGGGUUUUCAAAGUGCUCUGGCUUCUGCUCAAUGCUGCGACACAGAUAACUGCAACUCAGCAACUCUGACAAAUCCUGCUUCUCAGUCAAAUAAUGGUGGGGUAUGCAACUUUUGUGACCCUUCCACUGGUCAGUGCUCCUCCACAUUACAGUGUCAGGGAGUGGAGAACCAAUGCUUCCAAUCAAUCAUCAAAAGCAGCACCAGCACGUAUCCAGCUCGGGGCUGCGCAUCUGCAAACCUGUGUGCAGCUGCUUCAAGCCUGGGAUCUCUACCUUUCAUGCAGAGCGUUGGUAGCGUAUCAGGUGUUGCCUGUUCUGCAGCACCAACUACAACUGCUGCCCCGACUACAACCACCGCCCCAACUACAACUACAACCACCGCUGCGACCACAACCACCAUCCCAGCUACAACUACAACCACCGCCGCGACCACAACUGCCGUCCCAACUACAACCACCGCCACGACCACAACUACCGUCCCAACUACAACCACCGCUGCGACUACAACCACCGCCGCGACUACAACCAGCGCCGCAACCACAACCACCAUCACA
ensembl:lncRNA